rnacentral:rRNA from 1 species
UUGAACGCUGGCGGCAUGCCUUACACAUGCAAGUCGAACGGUAGAGGGGCAACCCUUGAGAGUGGCGAACGGGUGAGUAAUAUAUCGGAACGUGCCCAGUCGUGGGGGAUAACGCAGCGAAAGCUGCGCUAAUACCGCAUACGAUCUAAGGAUGAAAGCGGGGAUCGCAAGACCUCGCGCGAUUGGAGCGGCCGAUAUCAGAUUAGGUAGUUGGUGGGGUAAAAGCCUACCAAGCCGACGAUCUGUAGCUG